AGCUAACCCACCACGCCCCAGCUGAGCAGCACAGCCCACUGGGUGCUCGUUGGUACCCCGGUGAUCAGGAGGCUGACAGGGGCCUGCAGCUCACCAUCCUGCCCAGAACUGUGGUGGGGAAGCACCAGCCUGGGAAGGGAUCCAAGUUCAAAAUCCCAACUGCAGUUUCUACUGGAUGCGCCUCACCUUUGCCUCACUGUGAAGUAAAGUCCCAAGCUGAAGCACGGUAAGCCAGGGCCUCUUUAUAUACACACGUAACCCAUGGCUGCAGGCCGGUGUGGGCGCAGUUAGGGUCAGUAAGGAAGUGAGCUAGAAGGAGCAGGACGCUGCAGCCUGAGGGCGCCGAGUUUGGUUUUCUUACCUUGGAGGCUGCGCACUUUCCUCCCGGAGUCCUGGGUGUGGCGUGGGAGUGGGUGGCCCAGACCAGCAGAAAACAACGUCCCUGAGGGUAAGAGAGCGAGGAGCUGAGAGCCCACUGUCCGCAGACCUGUGGAUGGCGAGGGCGAGGGCGAGGGCGACACCAGGGCCCAGGAGGACCAGCAGGGGGCGCGUGGAGGAGCAGCGCGAGCCUCGGAAUUGGCAGCCUUUGCCCAGGGAGAGCGCUGCGCUGUGGUCUGCAGGGGUAAUGGCCAAGCUCACAGCACGGGGCUGCAGGAAAUGAGCAGCCUGCCUGGAAAGGGGUGCAAGGACAGUGGGGUCCUGGGAGACAGCCAGGGCCCUGCUAGGGUGCGAGGGAAGGGGGCAGAGGGCCCCAAGAAGCUGCUCCAGUCACCAGGGGGACAUCGCCGUGUGUGCACAUCCUCCUUGAGUCUGGGCUCCCUCUCCGGACCUCCAGAGUUCAAUGUCCUGCACUCCACACUGGACAGAAUUGCUUCACGGCCGCUCAGAAGCAUGCUUCAUCACAACCAUCGGAUGCAAACACUGCGGGAAUCUUGGCAGAGCUGGAAUCAGGGUGAGAGCCACGUGGUCUGGCCCAGAAGCCACAGCUAGCCGUGUGCCUCCUCCUGGUGCAGGAGGGACGAAAGGAGAUCACUCCUGGGGCCUGCAAAGAGUGUGGCCCUGGAGAUAGAGCGAGAGUCAGGACUGACCCAGUCGAUCAUUUGGGGCAGCAGUUCCCGCCUCUUAUACCAAACGCUAUUCCCAUGAGCUCCUAUUUUGCCGGUAAACCCACACUUCCCACAGUAAUUUGUCCACUUGAAUAAUUAACCCAGGCCACGUGAGUUGUUAAAGUUCACUGAGACCUAUAGCUGUGAAAUCCUACAGUUGCUUGGGUUUUGCAUGCUGUGUGAAGGCAGGAAGCGAAAUCACCUGGAUUUCAGAGCACUCACCCCGUGAGGAUGGCAAACUGUGCGAGGGCCUAAAUAAUAAGAAGCUCAAGGAUCAUGCACUCAGGAAAGCCCCGAAGGCCCUCGGUCACAUCAGCUCUUCUGUGGUGUGUGUCCCAGCUGUGAACAAAUACCUCGGUGUGUGUUAGCUACACAUGAUCCCCUCUGCCAGGCCACCCUGCCUUGGAGCCAGACGACUAUGGACUGAAACCUUUACAAACUGUGAGGGCCUCCCUGGGUUUCCAGGCCUAGAAGUGGACGACAACAGUCACAUCGCAGCAGUAGCCCUGCCUCAGGAGCCACAAAGUCACAGUCACCUAAACUCUCUGCCUAAACUCUCAAAGGACUGAUUUCAUGGAUUUUAUCGUAGACUUUUCUCUCUAAGUCAGUAGGCUCUGGAGCUGACUCAGUCAAGUCAACUCCACCCAUGAAACAAAAAUAAAUAAAUUGCAUGGGGGAUAAGGGUGAAGAACAUUAUUUUCAAUGAGUCCAAAUUUCAAGUCACUGUAGAGUGUUCAAUGCAAGCACCCACUAUUCCAUGCAUUUCUGCAAGUCCUGCUUGGUGUGUGUUUCCACUGAAGCACAUUAGAGCUGAAAUCAGCAAAGAACAAACCUGCUCUGAUGGGCUUGUGGAAUGCUGGAGGGAUACCUGGCCAUUAGGCUCCUUUUGAGUGGAAAAAAUAAGCAAAAUCCUUUGGAAAAUAAAGAUCUGUGGUUGCCUUACACGUAGCACCCACAGGCUAUGGUACCAUUGUCAGCAUUGUCUCCCUUCCGAAGACAGCAGCUUACUGGGGAGAAGCACACAUUCCAGAGCUGCGACUCUUGUGAUGAGCUCCAGUCCUGGCACAGUGUCUUGCUUGCCCAGUAAAGGGAAAGAGAGCAGUAACUCAAAAUAAUUACAAUGGAUUGGGCCUUGGUGGGCUGUCAUGGGUUGAUUGUAAGAAUGGCUCCAGUUCAUUCUUAUCUCCCUGAAUCCAUGCUCGUGGGUAAGGUCCUACCACACUGAUGCUGGACUUGGCCAGGUGAUUUGAUCAAGCCAAUGAGGUGGUAACAAAAGAGAUGCAAACAGAGACUUGGAAAGCACAUGUACAUGGAAUUUGUCCUUUAACCGCUCUUGGAAACAUGAGUUGCCUUGUGGAAAAAACCUAGGCUAGCCAGAAAGAGGAUGAGAGAUCACAUGGGGCAGAAAGGAUGAACCACUGUGGUAGCCCUGUCCACGAGGCUGCCCCUCAGGGAACCCAGCCAAGAUCUGCCAAACACGGCCCCAGACAGCAGAUCCACCAGUUCAUUUAAGUCCACACACUGUGCCCACAAAGCUGGGAGCUAUAAACAAACAGCUGUUCAGCCAUCAAAUUUGAAGCAUGUGUUACACAGCAAAUACUGGCUGAUACAAGGGUUCACUUCCUUCAUAUAUAGAGUUCCUACUUAUCUUUUUGAAAGAAUCCCUAAAAAUCAAUAAGGGGCUUUACAAAUACAUUCUCACUCAUGAGAAAUUUUGUAUAUUUAGGUGUAGCAUUUUCUUAUUUUGCAAUGGUGAAAUAUUUGAAAGAAUCUUACUUUCUAUCCACACAGACCUAACCAUACUAA